AUUGAACGCCGGCGGCAGGCUUAACACAUGCAAGUCGAGCGGGGUGAUGGUGCUUGCACUAUCACUUAGCGGCGGACGGGUGAGUAAUGCUUAGGAAUCUGCCUAUUAGUGGGGGGCAACAUCUCGAAAGGGAUGCUAAUACCGCAUACGUCCUACGGGAGAAAGCAGGGGAUCACUUGUGACCUUGCGCUAAUAGAUGAGCCUAAGUCGGAUUAGCUAGUUGGUGGGGUAAAGGCCUACCAAGGCGACGAUCUGUAGCGGGUCUGAGAGGAUGAUCCGCCACACUGGGACUGAGACACGGCCUAGACUCCUACGGGAGGCAGCAGUGGGGAAUAUUGGACAAUGGGGGGAACCCUGAUCCAGCCAUGCCGCGUGUGUGAAGAAGGCCUUAUGGUCGUAAAGCACUUUAAGCGAGGAGGAGGCUCUUUUGGUUAAUACCCAAGAUGAGUGGACGUUACUCGCAGAAUAAGCACCGGCUAACUCUGUGCCAGCCGCCGCCGUAA
rnacentral:rRNA from 1 species